GUUAACCGUUGGCGGCGUGCCUAACACAUGCAAGUCGAACGCGUCCUAAGGGCAACUUUAGGAUGAGUGGCGAACGGGUGAGUAUCACGUGGGUAAUCUUCCUUUAAGUGGGGAAUAAGCUCUCGAAAGGGAGUCUAAUACCGCAUGACAUUCCGGGACACAAGUCCCGUAAUCAAAGCCGCAAGGCGCUUGAAGAUGAGCCUGCGUCCUAUUAGCUAGUUGGUGGGGUAACGGCCUACCAAGGCUCAGAUGGGUAGCCGGCCUGAGAGGGUGAACGGCCACACUGGGACUGAGACACGGCCCAGACUCCUACGGGAGGCAGCAGUGAGGAAUUUUGCGCAAUGGGGGAAACCCUGACGCAGCGACGCCGCGUGGAGGAUGAAGGCCUUCGGGUCGUAAACUCCUGUCAGAGGUGAAGAAUGCCCGCAAGGGUUUGACGGUAACCUCAGAGGAAGCCCCGGCUAACUACGUG
rnacentral:rRNA from 1 species